rnacentral:rRNA from 1 species
GCUGGCGGCGUGCUUAACACAUGCAAGUCGAGGGCGUGGGGCAACCACGACCGGCGAACGGGUGCGUAACACGUGAGCGACCUGCCUUCCCGCGGGGGAUAGCCGGCCCAACGGCCGGGUAAUACCGCAUACGCUCGGUUGGGGGCAUUCCCGAUCGAGGAAACUUCCGGGGCGGGGAGAGGGGCUCGCGGCCUAUCAGCUAGUUGGCGGGGUAACGGCCCACCAAGGCAGUGACGGGUAGCUGGUCUGAGAGGAUGGCCAGCCACAUUGGGACUGAGAGACGGCCCAGACUCCUACGGGAGGCAGCAGUGGGGAAUCUUGCGCAAUGGGAGCAAUCCUGACGCAGCGACGCCGCGUGGGGGAGGAAGGGCUUCGGCUCGUAAACCCCUGUUGCCCGGGGCGAACCUCUGGUUUCGACCAGACUGACGGUACCGGGUGAGGAAGCACCGGCUAACUCCGUGCCAGCAGCCGCGGUAAUACGGAGGGUGCGAGCGUUGUCCGGAAUCACUGGGCGUAAAGGGCGC